AGGUGUGAUCAUACCAGCACUAAUGCAUCGGAUCCCAUCAGAACUCCACAGAUAAACGUGCUUGGGCGAGAGUAGUACUAGGAUAGGUGACCUCCAGAGGUGCUCCUGGAAUAUUACCAGUC
rnacentral:rRNA from 2 species